GAUGAACGCUGGCGGCGUGCCUAAUACAUGCAGGUCGAGUGAACGGACGAGAAGCUUGCUUCUCUGAUGUUAGCGGCGGACGGGUGAGUAACACGUGGAUAACCUACCUAUAAGACUGGGAUAACUUCGGGAAACCGGAGCUAAUACCGGAUGAUAUUUUGAACCGCAUGGUUCAAAAGUGAAAGACGGUCUUGCUGUCACUUAUAGAUGGAUCCGCGCUGCAUUAGCUAGUUGGUAAGGUAACGGCUUACCAAGGCAACGAUGCAUAGCCGACCUGAGAGGGUGAUCGGCCACACUGGAACUGAGACACGGUCCAGACUCCUACGGGAGGCAGCAGUAGGGAAUCUUCCGCAAUGGGCGAAAGCCUGACGGAGCAACGCCGCGUGAGUGAUGAAGGUCUUCGGAUCGUAAAACUCUGUUAUUAGGGAAGAACAUAUGUGUAAGUAACUGUGCACAUCUUGACGGUACCUAAUCAGAAAGCCACGGCUAACUACGUG
rnacentral:rRNA from 1 species